rnacentral:rRNA from 1 species
UACGUAGGGUGCGAGCGUUAAUCGGAAUUACUGGGCGUAAAGCGUGCGCAGGCGGUUCGUUGUGUCGGUGGUGAAAGCCCCGGGCUUAACCUGGGAAUGGCCGUCGAAACUGGCGAGCUGGAGUGUGGCAGAGGGGGGUGGAAUUCCGCGUGUAGCAGUGAAAUGCGUAGAGAUCAGCAGGAACACCCGUGGCGAAGGCGGCCCCCUGGGCCGUACCUGACGCUGAGGCGCGAAGGCUAGGGGAGCGAACGGG